AACCCGAUGUGGCCUCUUGAUCGGUCUCGCUCCCUUGCUCCCGGUAGAGCCGGUCCGGUCCCCCGCUUCGGACAAGAUGGCUGCCUGCAGCGGGCGGUGCGGACCGCAGCAUGUUUGAGUCAGAGGGUGGCCCACGAAAAAGCAGGAUCACAGCAGUAUCAACAUAAUAAGACGUGCCCAAAGAUGCACAGACGUGACCAGGGACCACUUUCAGCAUCUUGUAGUGGAAAGUUUAGAUGUGGAUUCAGCACCAAGAAUGAACAUCACUUCGCUUUUCCGCGCAGAAGUUUUAAAGGCGGAAAAAAAAAAACACGUGCUGUGUGUAAAUCAACAAGCGGUUUGCACAUUGAAAUCAAUGGAAAUGACUGGAUGCGGAAUCUGCAAACAUACCCUUAGGACUCUUGCACAUGAAAGUCUGCAAUACACGGGCACCGGCCGUGUGCAGCCCGCUGACCCAUUCACUUGAAUGGGUCCGCAAUCACAGAGAUGCGGAACGGAAGCACGGAUAGGAAGCACUACGGAGUGCUUCCGUGGUGUUUCUGUCCGUGCCUAAAAAAUUGAACGGUGCGGACAGAUCAAGGACCCAUUCAAGUUGAAUGGGUCUCAAUCCGUCCCGGCUGCCGCACGGACGUUGCCUGUGCAUUAAGGGACCACAAAUUUCGGUCCCCAAUGCAAGGAACAGAACCACAUCGUUUGUGUGCAAGAGGCCUUAGACUGUGGCUACAUGGCGUCACAUGCCCAAAGAUCACUGUGUGGCAGUGCAGUCACUGAGAGGAAGGGUAAUAGAAUAGGCGGCACGCACCAGUGUAGAUAAGACCAUUCUUUAUUCAUACAAAAGAUAAAAAGUUACUCAUUGGGCUGGAGCGCAUGGUGCAGUAGAACCCAGAUGAGGACGGCGGUUUCGCGCUAACUUGCGCUUCGUCAGGCCAAAUUGAACUGAAUGUAGCAGUUCUGGGGUUGUAUGUAGCAACUUUGGAUUCACAUGUCGACCCUAUUCAGUUCAAUGGCUGCACUGCCACGCUGUGAUCUCUGAUCAUGUGACGGGUGUCGCAGCCAAGAUCACCAUGUAGAAUUUACAGAAAUGAUUCUUUGUGGUGCCCAAUGGUGACAGUCGGCUACUACAAGCAGCUUUAAAGAAACACUCAAGUAAUCAUUUAAUACAAUUAAAGGGGUUGUCUGGGAUUUUGACACUGAUGGCCUAUA